CGGGGUGUGGCUCAGCUUGGUAGAGCGUAUCGUUCGGGACGAUGAGGUCGCAGGUUCGAAUCCUGUCACCCCGA
rnacentral:tRNA from 1 species